rnacentral:lncRNA from 1 species
GAAAAACAAAAAGUGAACUUCCUGUUUCGGGGUGGUCCUCAGACUGUGGAGAAGGGGAGGGAGGAGGGAGGGAGGAGGAGGAGGAGGGGGUGCGCAUUCCCGCAUUGGCUGUGCAGCCGAACUCCAGGGCGCGUUGCGGGACUCCACGGACCAACAUGGGGUUCAACGUUUGUCUCCGAUCGUCGGCCCACGAAGUCACCGCCAGGAAAACCCCCGUGGGAGAGAGACUCUGAAGAGGGGCACAGCCUCGGCCUCUGCGAGGAGCCCGGGCAUCUCCAUCCGAGCGCGCUUUGGCACAAAGUAGACCAGAGAGAGAAGGAGAAGUGGAGGCUUUACUGGAAGAAGAAGAAGAACAACCCCCCCUCAAGACUUUUCUCAGUCCCUGGACCCGCUGGAGCUCUUCUUCCCGAGGACUGUGGGGGGAUCGAGUCAGACAGUUCCAUGCCGAGGAACACCCUCAUCCCCAUCGAGCUGAGGUCCAGGGUGUAAGGGGGCGCAGCAGGUCUCGGAGCUCCAAUGCCAGUGGACAUGCAGCCACACCAGGGGCUGUAUCACUACGAGACCUCACCCAGCCAGCCCUCCAGAGGGUAAGACAGCAGUCGGUGUAAGCUAUGUCCUCACAAUUCUUCAUGUGGGAUUUCACAUGAGUAAGAUGAGAGGGUUAAUAACAUUCUCAUGUCACGUCUGUGUUAAGUAUGGGACCGGAGUCAGGACGUGGUUAACAGGUAGCCUGGCUCAUUCUAAAUUUAGAAAUAUGGAUCCCUAAAAUUUUGGACAAAUAAUUGCAAUACAGAUAUUUUCCUUUUUAACCUUUGUAAAGCUGUGGUGACUUUGUUACCAAGUGACCUCUAAAAGUAAUCAGCCAAUAUAUAAGACAAUGUUGAUAUAUCUGUGAAAGAUAAUAUCAAUAUGGCCCCUGCAGAUUCAUUCUGGCUCUAGUUAUGUUGGAGUCUAUGUCCUGAUGAACAACAAGUUCGUCCAUCCUCCCAGCACUCGUGCGCAGCAUCUCCAGCAAUAGCACGGGCUGCCAUAUACGGUCGGUGAGCACAGGUUUUGGUCUGCACACAGGAAUGAGGCUUUCAAACCUGGCAAGCGCAAAGUGACAACAAGGCUUUGGUAAACUGCACAUGUUUACUGAGGCUUACUGUUGUUAGUUCGUUAGUUAGUUCCAUAUAUUGUUUAUGUAUCUGUUGAACUUCUGACAAAGCCAGACAAGCUGUUCACACUUGAUUGCUGCUGAUCUUCUGAAUUCCCCUCAGAAAAGAAAGGACAACACCCGUA